CCUACGGGAUGCAGCAGUGAGGAAUAUUGGUCAAUGGACGAGAGUCUGAACCAGCCAAGUAGCGUGAAGGAUGACUGCCCUAUGGGUUGUAAACUUCUUUUCUAUGGGAAUAAAAUGUUCCACGUGUGGGAUUUUGUAUGUACCAUAUGAAUAAGGAUCGGCUAACUCCGUGCCAGCAGCCGCGGUACUACGGAGGAUCCGAGCGUUAUCCGGAUUUAUUGGGUUUAAAGGGAGCGUAGGUGGAUUGUUAAGUCAGUUGUGAAAGUUUGCGGCUCAACCGUAAAAUUGCAGUUGAAACUGGCAGUCGUGAGUACAGUAGAGGUGGGCGGAAUUCGUGGUGUAGCGGUGAAAUGCUUAGAUAUCACGAAGAACUCCGAUUGCGAAGGCAGCUCACUGGACUGCAACUGACACUGAGGCUCGAAAGUGUGGGUAUCAAACAGGAUUAGAUACCCCUGUAGUC
rnacentral:rRNA from 1 species